rnacentral:tRNA from 1 species
GCGCCUGUAGCUCAGGGGAUAGAGUAGUUCACUCCGAAUGAAAUGGCCGGCGGUUCGAAUCCGCCCAGGCGCACCA